rnacentral:rRNA from 1 species
GCUAACUUGCCGGCGACCGGCGCACGGUGAGUAACGCGUAUCCAACCUCCCCUUAGUAGGGCAUAGCCCGUAGAAAUGCGGAUUAAUACCCUAUGUUAUUCGUCGAUGACAUCUGAAGUGAAUCAAAGGUUUACCGCUAAGGGAUGGGGAUGCGUCUGAUUAGGCGAGCAGGCGGGGUAACGGCCCACCUGGCCGACGAUCAGUAGGGUUCUGAGAGGAAGGUCCCCCACAUUGGAACUGAGACACGGUCCAAACUCCUACGGGAGGCAGCAGUGAGGAAUAUUGGUCAAUGGUCGAGAGACUGAACCAGCCAAGUAGGCCGUGCAGGAUGACGGCCCUAUGGGUUGUAAACUGUCUUUUAUGCGGGGAUAAAGUGAGGGACGUCGUCCUUUUUGUAGGUACCGCAUGAAUAAGGACCGGCUAAUUCCGUGCCAGCAGCCGC